rnacentral:rRNA from 1 species
GGCUGGUAUGAACGGUUGGACGAGGUAUAAGCUGUUUCAUAUAAAUUUAUAAUAGAAUUUUAUAUUUUAGUCAAAAAGCUAAAAUAUUAUUAAAAGACGAGAAGACCCUAUAAAUCUUUAUAUUUUUUUUUAUUUAAAUUUUUUGGAUUUAUUUUAUUUUUAUAAUGGAGAAUAUUUUGUUGGGGUGAUGUUAAAAUUUAAUGAACUUUUAAUUAUAAAAAUCAUUAAUUUAUGAGUUAUUGAUCCAUUAGUAGUGAUUAUAAGAUUAAGUUACUUUAGGGAUAACAGCGUAAUUUUUUUGGAGAGUUCAUAUCGAUAAAAAAGUUUGCGACCUCGAUGUUGGAU